CUACGGGCUGCAGCAGUCGAGAAUAGUCUAUAAUGGACGAAAGUCUGAUAGAGCGACGCCGCGUGGAUGAAGAAGCAUUUCGGUGUGUAAAGUCCUUUUCUGUGUGAGCAAUGUUUUCCAGGUUAAUAGCUUGGAGAAAGCGAUAUUAAUACAGGAAUAAGCUCCGGCUAACUCCGUGCCAGCAGCCGCGGUAACACGGGGGGAGCAAGCGUUGUCCGGAAUUACUAGGCGUAAAGGGUAAGUAGGCGGAAUUGUAAGUCAGAUGUUAAAGGCACCGGCUCAACCGGUGUAUGGCAUUUGAUACUGUAAUUCUAGAGUAAGGUGGGGGAAGACGGAAUUCCUGGUGUAGCGGUGGAAUGCGCAGAUAUCAGGAGGAACACCAGAGGCGCAGGCGGUCUUCUAUACCAUUACUGACGCUCAAUUACGAAGGUGUGGGUAUCAAACAGGAUUAGAUACCCUCGUAGUC
rnacentral:rRNA from 1 species